rnacentral:rRNA from 1 species
UAAGGAUCGGCUAACUCCGUGCCAGCAGCCGCGGUAAUACGAGAUCAGCGUAUCGAUCAUGGUUAAGGUCCGUAGGUGGAUAAUUAAGUCAGAGGUGAAAUCCUGCAGCUUAACUGUAGAAUUGCCUUUGAUACUGGUUGUCUUGAGUUAUUAUGAAGUGGUUAGAAUAUGUAGUGUAGCGGUGAAAUGCAUAGAUAUUACAUAGAAUACCAAUUGCGAAGGCAGAUCACUAAUAAUAUACUGACACUGAUGGACGAAAGCGUGGGGAGCGAACAGGAUUAGAUACCCUGGUAG